AAAAACUUAGUUAAAAAAUAACAUUAGCCUGUCAAACUAAAAUCACUUAAAUCAAGUAGUUUUUG
rnacentral:tRNA from 1 species